CCUACGGGCGGCAGCAGUGAGGAAUAUUGGUCAAUGGCCGGAAGGCUGAACCAGCCAUGCCGCGUGAAGGUCAGUGCCCUAUGGGCGUUAAACUUCUGUUGUGCGGGAGCAAUAAUCGUCACGGUUGGCCAGACGAGAGUACCGUACGAAUAAGCAUCGGCUAACUCCGUGCCAGAAGCCGCGGUCAUACGGGGGAUGCAAGCGUUAUCCGGAUUUGUUGGGUUUAAAGGGUGCGUAGGCUGGGAGGUAAGUCAGCGGUGAAAUGCCCCCGCUCAACGGGGUGAAGUGCCAUUGAUACUGGCUGGCUUGAAUGCGGAUGACGUGGGAGGAAUGUGUGGUGUAGCGGUGAAAUGCAUAGAUAUCACACAGAACACCGAUUGCGAAGGCAUCUCACGAAUCCGCGAUUGACGCUGAUGCACGAAAGCGUGGGUAUCAAACAGGAUUAGAUACCCUUGUAGUC
rnacentral:rRNA from 1 species